CGUCCGCCCCCUCCUCCGCGCAGGACGGAGCCGGCCGAGCACAGGCCGCGCGCCAGGCGUACAAAAUAAAUGUUGGCAUUGGUAGCCCAUGAAAUGGACACUGCGGUUUCCCAGCGGCCCGGCCCGUGGGCCCGGCCGCGGGGUCUGAGUUCCGCGGGGUUUCGUUUUGUGGGAGAAGGGAUAGGGCGGGCAGCAGCGGGCCGGGUUCUCCUGGGGCAGGGAAAGGGUCUGGCACCGCCGCUUUCCGCAAGUAGACGCGGUGAUACAGGCUCGGGCUUACGGCUGCGCUUUGCCGGGACCAAAGGGUUGGGUAUUAAUUGUCCACAGCUUAUCGUUUUUUACUGUCAGCACGGGAACAACAACAACAACAAACAAAAAACAAAACAAAAAAAAAAUCAAGAGGACAACAAAGUGAAAUACAUCGCGCAGCUUUCUUUCUCGAAAAGGAGAAGGGGAAAUGUGAUGGAGAGAGAGCGUGCUGAUCGCAUUCAGACCAAAGCUGUGGCAAACCUCUAGCAGCGCGUUAACUGCUUCACGUUUGUGCUGGAGGAAAAGAUGCUCUGUAGAAACAAUACGUGCAGCUCAACCCCAGCUAAAACAACUUAUCCCAAGGAAAUUCAGUCAAUGUAUGGGAUUUCUUGACGAAGAGUGCAAUGAGGAGGAUAUUGUAUGACUCUACCAUGGCAAGGGGUAAGAGGAAAGAAAAGGCAUCAUUUAUAAAACUAUUUACUUUGGAAAUGCGGGAGUCUUACUGCAACGCCAGUUCCUUCCUGAGCUCUGCCCCGAACACGACUCCACUUCAGUGGUACCUUUGUGCAUCGGGGCACUGCAUGAGCGGCAGGUUUGGCUGCUCAACUCUGGCUAAACCCGAAUUCUCUUAAGAAAGUCCCUCAUGGCAGGAUUUUCUAACAGGGAAGGUUUUGUGGAGUGUUUGGAGUAGAAGCUUGUGCAUGGAACUGAAGUGCACAAGCCCCAGCCCUGUGAAAUACGGGUGGGUGUGCAGAGGGGAGCCGCUCUCUGCAGAGUGUGAAUGGUGCCUCACCUGCGCGUUCGUCGAUGCUGCGGAUGCACCGAACCGAGCGGCGGGGAUGGACCGAGAGUAUCCAGCUCCGGGGUCAGGAUGGGGCUGAAUAGCUGAGCUGAAACCUCCUGGCUGAAGUGCCAUUCAACAGCGAUCUCCGUGCAGCUCUUGGGUAUAACUCGUAGGGAUAGUGUUUCAACCACAUACUUUUCUGCCCCCGCCCUCCCCCCUACCUUUUUUUUUUUUUAAAUUAUUAUUUUAAUUUUUAUUUAGUUUUUAAAUUAAAGGCCAAAGGAAGAAAAGACCCUCUCCAAUGUACACUUAAUGCAUAUAGCGUACUUCCCCUGCACCACCCCCCGCCCCAGCUUCAGCCUUCAAUCCCCCUUCACACGGGUAUAGUGGCUCUGUACUCUCGGGCUCUUUCAAGGCGGUUAAGCUGCUAAAAUGUACUGACAGCUUAAGAAAUGAAUGAGAUUUUUUUCAGCCAUGAAGAAAGGGUAUUUAGUAACCACGCUUCGAUGGCAUCAUGCUUCCAUGAAACGAGUCCGGACACUUUGGUUUAACAAUCAGUAAUAUCACAUUCGGUACAGUAAAUGCCUCCAUGUACGCUUAUAUAAUUCUAUUCCCCCUUGACUAUAACCUUGCCUUAUUUAUUCCAGGUUACCUGGGCAAUUAAGGUAAGGACUGCUCAGCAGAUACUGAUACCCUGCUGCUAAGGCAUGGCGAGUGGGGAUGGAGCAGUGCGCUAACAAAGAGAAAGAGGUAGUCAAACAUUUUGAAGAGGGGUGAAUGGGACUGAAGGUGGAUGGAUGAAUGGAGGCAAAGAGGGAGAGGAAGCAGCAUUCAAUGGUCCAGACUUCUCUCUGAAUUUGUAGAUUUAAGUUUAGGUGUCCGCCUCUAGUCAGCUUCCAGUUAAUCCUCAACAGCUUCUAGUGAUUAGAAGUUAGUCUAUUUAGCAUGCUAUAUCCUUCUUCCUUGGGUUUUAGUUACAAGUUAUACGAUUAGGAUUGCGAGAACAGUAGUGAACUAAACUUCCCAGUAAGAGGUCUUCACACCAGGGAAGUGUUACUUUGCUGCAGCAGCCCUGCCUCGUCAGUCAUUAGGAAGCUGCAGGUUGUCAGAGGCUUCUCUUGCGCGCACACAAGCGCAGACACACACGCGCACACACACAAAACCACAGCACUAAAACUAAAUUAAGAAGCCGAUGAUUAAGACAAGCGUCUACGAGGCCUGUCAUUUCAGCAUCCUUCCAUCAUAACAUUGUGGCACCGAGAAAUUUGCUUGAAAACCCUGGAAAAAAAUGUCUAUGGGAGAGCCUCGUAUUUGAGGCUGUUAAUAUAAAAUAUAGACUGGGAACUGCCUCGGAUGCAAGAUAGUAUUCCGCAGAGGAAAGGAGCACUGCAGAGACCUUGGUGCUAUCCGCGCACUCCCGAAACUCUGGAUUGACUUGAUCGUCUCUGAAAAUGCAGAACAGCCCAUGAGAUCUCUCCUUUCCACCAGCCGUGUGGAAGACGCUUGCAGAACAGCCCUGAAAACAAAACAACUUUAUUGAAGGCAGUUCGUGCAACAAUUGUGUCAUGGAACACCUAACAUUUCUUUAUCUGUAACUAACUUUUUAAAUUUUGGAUAGUUCAAUAAAUGUCAGCUAUGCCAAGCA